UACGUAGGGGGCAAGCGUUGUCCGGAAUCAUUGGGCGUAAAGCGCGUGUAGGCGGCCCGAUAAGUCCGCUGUGAAAGUCCAGGGCUCAACCCUGGAAUGUCAGCGGAUACUGCCGGGCUAGAGUCCGGAAGAGGCGAGUGGAACUCCUGGUGUAGCGGUGGAAUGCGCAGAUAUCAGGAAGAACACCAACGGCGAAGGCAGCUCGCUGGGGACGGAAACUGACGCUGAGGGCGCGAAAAGCGUGGGGGAGCGAAACGGAUUAGAAAACCCCCCAGUAGUCC
rnacentral:rRNA from 1 species